ACACCUCAACUCUCGUGGUUUGCUACGAUGAGCUUGGACUUUGGGGGUCUUGCUGGCCUGUGGUCGGCUCCUCUCAAAUGAAUCAGCUUCCCAGUGUUUGGUGGCGUCGCAGGUGUGAUAACUAUCUACGCUUGUGGUUUUCCACCAGAUAACCUUCAGUGAUGGAGGUUCGCUGGGGCUCAUAAACGUCUUUCCUCAGUGAAGACAGCUUUUUGAAC
rnacentral:misc_RNA from 1 species